rnacentral:rRNA from 1 species
GGAAUUUUGGACAAUGGGCGCAAGCCUGAUCCAGCAAUGCCGCGUGAGUGAAGAAGGCCUUCGGGUUGUAAAGCUCUUUUGUCAGGGAAGAAACGGGUCUUUCUAAUACAGAGAUCUAAUGACGGUACCUGAAGAAUAAGCACCGGCUAACUACGUGCCAGCAGCCGCGGUAAUACGUAGGGUGCAAGCGUUAAUCGGAAUUACUGGGCGUAAAGCGUGCGCAGGCGGUUUUGUAAGACUGUCGUGAAAUCCCCGGGCUCAACCUGGGAAUGGCGAUGGUGACUGCAAGGCUAGAGUUUGGCAGAGGGGGGUAGAAUUCCACGUGUAGCAGUGAAAUGCGUAGAUAUGUGGAGGAACACCGAUGGCGAAGGCAGCCCCCUGGGUCAAAACUGACGCUCAUGCACGAAAGCGUGGGGAGCAAACAGGAUUAGAUACCCUGG